UCGAGCCGCGUAAAUUGCAAUAUUAAUUAUUGAAAAUGGAUGUUCUUUUCGCCGCCGCCGCCGUCGAGCGCACCCGUCGACUACUCGCGGCUAUUACGACAACGAUAUUAUACAGGGGUUUUAACUCGGUGUACAAUGUCAUUUACAGACCAACGUAUACACCGUCGAUGUUAAAAAAAAAAAUAUUCCAAUAAAACGUCAUAUUGACGCACGGUAUGUUUGUCACGAGUGGCACGGCACCGCUCUUCAAAAACUACUACCCGUUGUGAAUACGCCGCAAUAAUGACAAAACG